UGUAGGCGGUCUUGUAAGUUGGGCGUGAAAGCCCCGGGCUUAACUCGGGGAGGCCGUUCAAUACUGCAGGGCUAGAGGAUGUCAGAGGGAGAUGGAAUUCCUGGUGUAGCAGUGAAAUGCGUAGAUAUCAGGAGGACACCCGUGGCGAAGGCGGUCUCCUGGGGCAUUCCUGACGCUGAGAAGCGAAAGCUAGGGGAGCAAACGGGAUUAGAAACCCCGGUAGUCCUAGCCGUAAACGAUGGAUGCUAGGUGUUGGCAGUCUAACCCUGUCAGUGCCAAAGCUAACGCGUUAAGCAUCCCGCCUGGGAACUACGAGCGCAAGCUUAAAACUCAAAGGAAUUGACGGGGACCCGCACAAGCAGCGGAGCGUGUGGUUUAAUUCGAUGCUACACGAAGAACCUCACCCAGGCUUGACAUACAGGUGGAGUGAACUGAAAGGGGAACGCCCGCAAGGGAGCCUGUACAGGUGUUGCAUGGCUGUCGUCAGCUCGUGUCGUGAGAUGUUGGUUUAAGUACCCUAACGAGCGCAACCCUCGUUGCCAGUUACAAGUGUCUGGCGAGACUGCCGGCCACAAGCCGGAGGAAGGCGGGGAUGACGUCAAGUCAGCAUGGCCUUUAUGUCUGGGGCUACACGCACGCUACAAUGGGUGACACAAUGGGUAGCCAAACCGUGAGGUGGAGCCAAUCCCUAAAAUCAUCCUCAGUUCAGAUUGCAGGCUGCAACCCGCCUGCAUGA
rnacentral:rRNA from 1 species